UACGUAGGGGGCAAGCGUUGUCCGGAUUUAUUGGGCGUAAAGAGCGUGUAGGCGGCCAGACAGGUCAGCUGUGAAAACUCGAGGCUCAACCUCGAGACGUCGGUUGAAACCGUCUGGCUAGAGUCCGGAAGAGGAGAGUGGAAUUCCCGGUGUAGCGGUGAAAUGCGCAGAUAUCAGGAAGAACACCUAUGGCGAAGGCAGCUCUCUGGGACGGUACUGACGCUGAGACGCGAAAGCGUGGGGAGCGAACAGG
rnacentral:rRNA from 1 species